CGGCGCUCGCACGGUCGCCCAAGUAGGCGCCAUGAUUUGGGCGACGAAGUUGGCCACGACUGGCGCCACCGGGUACGCACCGCUUGUGCUCUAUCCCGUGCCGUUCAAGGCGCUGCUGCUGGGCAUGGGCUUCUUCUACCUCCGUCACCCCAGAUUCCGCGGCGACAUGCCCUCCGCCGGCUUCAACUUCUUCUGCCGCCUGUCGUCGCUCUCCGACCGGGUGCUCUAGCUAGGAUCGAUCGAUCGUUGUUUCUCUUUGAGGUUUUACUGUUGCAGUACUGUGAUCCACUACUGCUUGGUGGGAUCGUUGUCCGAGAUCGCCGUGUCUCGAGGUUCUGCAACCCGCGAGACGAGGCCGCACGGAUCGUGGACUGCGGCAGCGGGGCUGUCUAUGGCACAGACCGGCAGUUCCAGGGGCGUGCAGUGACUGCUCCCCUCUGUCUCCAUGUCUACCUGCUUCGUUGAGGGAGAUGACGAGCCUGAGCGAAGGCGCUCAAUCAUUGUGUAUAUCCAGAUUAGCAUGAAUCCAACAACAGGGGAUUGUAUAAUUCUAAACGGCCGCCUGCUACUCAAGCUCAUCCCCUGCCUCUUCGCUCCUCCACCAUGGGGUGAUCAAUCACUCAAAACUCACAGGUACAUCUUAUUCUGAUCUAUCAAGUGCACGCGUGCGUGUGGGUGAGGAGCUGCCCUUUUCUGACUUGCAUGGCAAGUUCUGCAGCUGCAUAUGAUUUCUUCAGGACCAUCAGCAUGGAUGUUCAGGUAUGGAUUUCUUUCCGGCCAUCCACACUUACGCCAAUAUAUAUGCAUGCAGAUAAUAAUUAUAUUAAGAUGUGUCUGUGUGUUAUCACCAAUGAAAAAAAUAGCGCGCUACAGAAAAUAGCGUCACCCCUAAAAAUAUGCUAUUUGCGUGCUAUAGCGCGCUAUAACGUGCUAUUAGCGAGACAUUAUACAUUGAAGGAUUUAGCGAGACAAUUCUCUACACGCUAUAGCGUGCUAUUAGCGGCGUUAUAGCGCGCUAUUUUAUUCAGUGGGUAUCACACAAUUCUACCACUACAUUGGACGAGGAUGAGAUGAUUGGGCUAAAGGCUUGGCACCAUAUUUAUUGCCAGACAAGAUAAGUUAUCCACAUUACUUCCUUCCUGGUCUGCUUGGAAUAUAGGAAGUAUGUGUACUUUCUAUACUAUGAGCAUACGUUUUCUUAAUCAAAUAUAUAUCAUUGCAUUUUCAGCCAUGCAUGUGAAUGCUUAGGAAGACACAACAUAAAUAGUUCAGUUUUGUUGUUGUUCAAUUCUAUUUAACAGAUGCAGACCCACACAUAAAUUCAAUUUUUUACUGACACUUUUCUACAGAGAAUGCUUUCCAUUAAUAUUUCUCCUUGAUAAUUUAUUUUCCCCUUGGCAUUCAUCCACCUUAUCGAAUCUGAUAAAUUGAUCUUGACUACCAAUCUGUCUAAUGUAAUCGAUGAAGGACAUGGCAUUAGCAGGAGUCAACAUACUGUGCGAACGGUGAGCAAAACCCUAUAUUUUUCAAAUAUUUCUUUUUUUUGCGCCACAACUGCUCAGUGAAUCAGCAGUUUUGUUUCAAUAUGGUUACAACCAGCCAUCAAAGCAGAAGAUAGGUGGAUUGUUGAAAAAGGUUAGUGGUCUGCGAUUCACUUUUGGGCAUGAGGACAUCCGUGCGAGCAUCUUCAACCUGCUCUUUUUAUCAGCUCACAACGCAUGGUUUAUGUCUGUCUGAUUACUCAAGUUGCGGCCAUGCGUUACAUUAGGAUUAAACAAAUAACAGAAAGUUAAAUACUCAGAGGUCGACUCUACCAUGAAAUUUUAACCUCUUACUGCAAAUGUGAUAAAAUUUGUACUGCAUUACAUGCAUAAAAAUAGAGCCACCAUGUGAACCAUGUAGUUCUUUUCUAAAGACUACUUUUAUUGUUUUUCUUCUUUACACCACUAAUCUGAAUAUUUUGAUGUACUGAAUAAUACGUGUCUCGAUUCCAGACUUUCUGUCUCAGUGGUAACAGCUAAUCAAAGUUUUGGUAGCUUAAAAAUAAAUUUAUAUUAUUUUUCAAUUUAACUAAAAAAUUGCUAGCAUAGAGGCAUGGCAAAUUUGGCUUGCUUUGUACUAUAACAAUUUUGUAGGCAUAACUUAGAUGUGUUCUAUUCUGGUAGGAGGGUGUAGGGAUAAUUUUUUUCGUUGCGAGGCACAUGAUGGGAUUGCUAAAGGUGUGUGCUAGAUUGUGACGAUCAGGCUCAUUACCUGAGAUUGAUCGUGUUCGUCAUGAAUAGAUGGACAACAUGACCAUGAUGGCGAAGAGAGUGGUAACACCAAUGGGUCACUUGGAACAUGCGAUGAUUUGUUUUUUCCCGUUGCAACGCACGGGCAUAUGAGAGUGAAGACAUGCAUAGGGUUGUUGCUUCCUACUGGUACAUAACUAUUUUCUUUGUACAAGUACUAUGUUGAUUCUUCAGAGAUCUCGUCUUCAUGAGACUAGCGAAGGGGGUAUAGGUUAGGAAGAAGGGGAGAUGAGGAAUUAACAAGAUAGUAUAUGGGCCGAAUAAUUUUGAACUAGCUACUAUUUCUACAUGGAGUGCCAUGUUCAAAUAGAAGAAGUAAAGUUGUGGUGGGUUCUGAGCCAUGCUUCAGGAAAGGGGUGUACCAUAUUAUUUUUCUUCCGUUGCAACGCAAGGGCAUUUUUGCUAGUAAUAAUAAAAGCCGGUUCCAAAACCGGAAAGAGCUAGUGGGCAGGAGUAAAGCGCCGAGGCCGGUGCAAAGCGUACGUGUCGGUUCUCGAUCUCCCACCGCGGUGCGCCGUUGGAGAGCAUGCUGAAAAUGGGCAGACAUUGGUCUAACGCGGAGUAAAGCCGCCGGCCGCUGGGUCUUAUCAUCCUCUCCACGCCAGACGCCAUGUUCGCCUGCCCCCAUCCAUCGUGCGCCUGACUGAUGCAUUGCCACCGUUGCCUUCAUCGCUCGCCCUUCUAUAAGUGCAGCCAUGCUUCAGCUGGUCUGUUUCGUCUCAUCCAUCCCGUACGUACGUACGUCGCCCCAAGCUAGCCAACAACCAGUGUGUGCUUGAGCUUGAAGACUCGAAGCGCAGCUCCAACUUUAGGCGGGAGAGAAGAGCGAUGGACUCGGUGUGCGCCGCCGCGGUGUUGCUGCUCGUCUGCACGGCCGGCGCGCUCGUCACCCACGCUGCAGGAGUCUCGGCCAAGGAACCGUCGCCGGGCAGCAGGGUGCGGCCUGACUUUUGUUCAACGACCUACAUUGAGCUCGAUAAACCUUGCACAGACGAGCUGUGCAAUGCUGAAUGCAUGAAGCUCUUCCCAGGCCCCGGCGGCUGCGAGAAAGGCAAGUGCCUAUGCGGUUUCUGCUGAAGAAGAAAGGCCUACUCCCUUAACGGGCGUAGCAGUGUACUCACUCCGUUUCAUAUUACUUGUCGCUGAUUUAGUACAAACUGAUUUAGUACAAAAGGGAGUAGUACUCAAGUCAAGUGCUUCGAAACUUUCCCUAGCUGCUGCCUUCCGCUCCAUUUGGUCAUCUUUUGGCCUUGUAUCAUCCAACUUAUUUCCUUUUCCUUGUUGAUUGAGUAGCAACAAGGCCGGACGAGAGCCUUCUGUCUAGAAAAAUAAUAAUGUAUUUCGUUUGAUUCUGUCCGUUUGUAUGCACUGGCUGGCCGAUGAAUGAAUGUUAGUCACCACCGUGUGAGCGUUAAUUACUAUCCAA